rnacentral:rRNA from 1 species
UACGGAGGGUGCAAGCGUUAUCCGGAUUCACUGGGUUUAAAGGGUGCGUAGGCGGGUUGGUAAGUCCGUGGUGAAAUCUCCGAGCUUAACUCGGAAACUGCCGUGGAUACUAUCAAUCUUGAAUAUCGUGGAGGUAAGCGGAAUAUGUCAUGUAGCGGUGAAAUGCUUAGAUAUGACAUAGAACACCAAUUGCGAAGGCAGCUGGCUACACAAAUAUUGACACUGAGGCACGAAAGCGUGGGGAUCAAACAGG